rnacentral:rRNA from 1 species
AACGAACGCUGGCGGCAGGCCUAACACAUGCAAGUCGAGCGAGGACUUCGGUCCUAGCGGCGGACGGGUGAGUAACGCGUGGGAACGUGCCCUUUGCUUCGGAAUAGCCCUGGGAAACUGGGAGUAAUACCGGAUGAGCCCUUUGGGGGAAAGAUUUAUCGGCGAAGGAUCGGCCCGCGUUGGAUUAGGUAGUUGGUGGGGUAAUGGCCUACCAAGCCGACGAUCCAUAGCUGGUUUGAGAGGAUGCUCAGCCACACUGGGACUGGGACACGGCCCAGACGCCAGGGGGCGGGGGGGGUGGGUGAACUAAGAGAGGGGGGGAAACCCAGCUACGCCGCGGGCGGGAGGGCGGCCAAGGGUUUGGGGUUCGAAAUCGCUUUUGACGGGGAGUGAGAGACGGGAACCAGUAAAGAAACCCCGGCUAACCUCCGU